rnacentral:rRNA from 1 species
UACGGGGGGGGCAAGCGUUGUUCGGAAUUACUGGGCGUAAAGGGUGCGUAGGCGGCUUUCUAAGUUGGAUGUGAAAACUCUGGGCUCAACCCAGAGCCUGCAUCCAAAACUGGAGAGCUAGGGUUCUGGAGGGGAAAGCGGAAUUCCUGGUGUAGCGGUGAAAUGCGUAGAUAUCAGGAGGAACACCGGUGGCGAAGGCGGGGUCCUG